rnacentral:rRNA from 1 species
AACGCGUGGCGGCAGGCGUUAAUACAUGCAAGUCGAACGGUAACAUGUCGGAGACAAUCUGAUGAUGACGAGUGGCGCACGGGUGCGUAACGCGUAUGCAACCUACCCAACUAACCGGAACAUAACGUUGAGAAAUCGGCGCUAAUAUUCCAUGUGUAUAUUUUGUGGCAUCAUAGAAUAUAUAAAGAUUAAAUUGGUUAUGGAUGGGCAUGCGUAUCAUUAGCUAGUUGGUGGGGUAACGGCCUACCAAGGCUGCGAUGAUUAGGGGUUCUGAGAGGAUAACCCCCACACUGGAACUGAGACACGGUCCAGACUCCUACGGGAGGCAGCAGUAGGGAAUAUUGGGCAAUGGAGGCAAACUCUGACCCAGCCCAUGCCGCGUGAAGGAAGACGGUCCUAUGGAUUGUAAACUUCUUUUAUCAUAGAGUAACCGCAGGGACGUGUCCCUGCCUGCAAGUAUAUGAUGAAUAAGCAUCGGCUAACUCCGUG